UGAUAACCUGCUAUUUCUUUAAGGAGCGCC
rnacentral:piRNA from 1 species